rnacentral:hammerhead_ribozyme from 1 species
AUCCAUCUGACGAGUUCCACAUAAGACGAAACGCUUAUCCUGUAU